UUAGAUUUUAUUUAUUAAUUAUUUAUUAUUUUUUGUAAAAUUAUUAAAAAUAAUUAUAAAAUAAAAAGUUUUAGUAUUGUUUAAAGAAAAAAUAAAUUUAAUAAUAGUUUAAUAGUAUUGUAAAAGAAAAUUGAAAUAAUUUGAAAAAAUUUUAUUAUAAAAGAAAAUUUAAUUUAUUGUACCUU
rnacentral:rRNA from 1 species